CCCCACCUAUAUGCUCUUUCUCUGCGGGUGGCUACUUCCUCCCACCCACUUUUCUCCCUAUGGACGGAGCCGAGGGGGUGGGGGCUCUUUCUCCCGCGAGUUUCUAGAGCUCCGAGGCUGCUAGCAGGGGGGCACCACUUUCAGAUAAAAACAUAGACCUGAAUGGCAUCAUCCAGUAUCCAAGGAAACCAUGGGGAGGCAGGGUUUCUUAUUGAACUCAGAGCUCACUGAUUCAACUGACUGGCUGGAAAAUGAGUUCCAGCGUUCUACUCUUAGUGUUGGAACUGCAGAUGCAUACUGCCACACCCAGGUUUCCCGUGGGUUCUCAUGCUUGUGUGUGCUGAAUAUUGAAUCCAAGGCCUGCCUCACACAUGCUAGCCAAAUGCUGCUGCAUUACUGAACUACAUACAAGCCCCUGUCUGAGACCACAUGUAUGAUUAUACAUCAUCCUGUUUUCUACAUGUCUACAUGCAUUUUAAGUGUUAAGAAAGGUGCUUAAACACUUGUGGGCUUGAAUCUCUUUUGACCACUUAUGAAUUACACAGACAUGAAGUAACUCGAUUCAGAGAGAGCCUUCACUUUUCAUAUCUCCAAAGUGAUGGGGCUAAGAGCAGUACAUAUCAAACAGAUAUGACAAGAAGAAUUAAAACGAAGUAGCUUAUAAAACCUUCCCCAACAUAUUUGGAUAGUACACAAAGAGCAAAUCCUUGAGGGAGAAAACCGACCACUGAAAGGGGCAAAAAUACAGAAAAUGGAAGCUCUGAGGACAAGUAUCACCCACGCCAACACUUUGCCUGCAACCCCCUCCCUCCCUAAAUAACCUUUCACUUAUUUGUCUCCAAGAUACAACUCCUGAUCAUUCUUUAUGUGUCAUGAAAUAGCAGCAGACAGGGAUUUGGGAUAUUUGUGUCUUGAUCACGUAAACUGGAAGUUAGUCAUGUUGCUUUCCUAGAGACUCUCUUCCUCUCCUCUUCAACAUCAGAGAAUGAAGAGAAAUGACUGUUUAGGGUAUCUCUAACUAUGAAGCUGAUAUACAACUCUAACUUAUUAAGACCCCUCAGAUGUGAGCCUGGAGGGAUAUAUGCUUAUAUUCUGUUUUCAAGAUCCUGAUGCAGGAAGAUUGCCUUGUGUUCCAUGCCAGUGAGCUACACAGUAAGACCAUGUUUAAAAGAAGCAAACAAGAACAAGUAAGAGAACCCUCUCCUUGAUGGUUUAACAUUUGGAUAUAAUGGCCAGGGAACAAGUUGUAAUGUUAUAGUAAAACUGAACUCUAAUUUCUCAUAAAUCCUUAGAGACUUGGGUUCAAUUUUCAAAUUCUGCUAAAGUGUACCAGAACUACAACAUUUUAUUCCUGCUUUUGAAAAGAGCAUUACAUGGGACAACAGAAUUACUGGAAUCAACAUGAUUCUGUCAGUAAUUAACUAGCAACUUUAAAGGGUAAGACAAAUUACUCCCAUUGUUGGGCCUCAUUUUUCCUGUCUGUAUAAUGAGCCAGAUGUUGUAGAUAAUCUUUAAGUCUCUUUCUAGUGCCCAAAUAUUCAAUUACAGUUCCAGUUAGAACCAUCUGACUGACUCACAUGUUAAGAAAAAAGUUCAGCUUGGAAGCCUCCCCCCAUGAUGUGAUAAACAGGUCAAAUUACAGAUUUUCAGUGAAAGAGAUUCUGUUGACUAUCAUCACAUUAACCACAUGUAAUAGUUUAUCUUUCAUGAAAACAGUGAUUGUCAUAUUGUAGAGCCUUAAGGUCUCUAAAUGCUCUGAAGCACUUGAAAACUAGCCUCCCCCAACACAGAGUGUUCUUAUAAAUAAUAAGUAAAUUCUCUCCCCGACAAUGUUACCAAAUUUAGUCUGGAGAAGCAUUCCACAUGGUCUUAGAUACAAAUCUUUGUCUAAUGAUUAACAUCAUUACCAUGUUACAGAAUGAUUUUUCUUUGUUUAUUCUAUUUGCCAAGGUUUUAUAAUAAUAAAGGAGUAGCAAAACUAAGGACAAACACAGAGAUUUUAUUCAUUUCAUGUGUGAUCUUAUAUUUAUUGAUUGGAUUACCUUAUAAUUUUACAGUUAUUGAAGAUUUUUGAUGUGUGGCUUUAUAUUUAGUGAUUUGAAUACCUUAUGUAUUUUAUUUUUACUGAAGGAUUUCUUGUCUAAGAUUCAUCACUGAUUAAGUAAUAUUCUUAUGGAAAAUAAUAUUACAUGUUAAAAGUAUAUCUUGAUUAAAAGU